UACGAAGGUGGCAAGCGUUGUUCGGAUUUACUGGGCGUAAAGGGAGCGUAGGUGGUGCGGUAAGCCCUCCGGGAAAGCUUCAGGCUUAACCUGAAAAGGUCGGGGGGGACUGCCGCGCUAGAGGACGGGAGAGGAGCGCGGAAUUCCCGGUGUAGCGGUGAAAUGCGUAGAGAUCGGGAGGAAGGCCGGUGGCGAAGGCGGCGCUCUGGAACGUUUCUGACACUGAGGCUCGAAAGCGUGGGGAGCGAACAGG
rnacentral:rRNA from 1 species